AUUGAACGCUGGCGGCAGGCCUAACACAUGCAAGUCGCACGAGUGGCGGACGGGUGAGUAAUGUCUGGGAAACUGCCCGCUGGAGGGGGAUAACUACUGGCAACGGUAGCUAAUACCGCAUACCAUCGGAUGUGCCCAGAUGGGAUUAGCUAGUAGGUGGGGGAAUGGCUCACCUCGGCGACGAUCCCUAGCUGGUCUGAGAGGAUGACCAGCCACCCUGGAACUGAGACACGGUCUAGACUCCUACGGGAGGCAGCAGUGGGGAAUAUUGCACAAUGGGCGCAAGCCUGAUGCAGCCAUGCCGAGUGUAUGAAGAAGGCCUUCGGGUUGUAAAGUACUUUCAGCGAGGAAGCGUUACUCGCAGAAGAAGCACCGGCUAACUCCGUGCCAGCAGCCGCGGUAAUAC
rnacentral:rRNA from 1 species